rnacentral:rRNA from 1 species
GACCUGUUUACCAAAAACAUAGCUAACUGCUAAAAUUAAUUGAAGUAUAGUUAGUGAGGCCUGCCCACUGAUUUGAGUUUACAGCUUGAGUUAAAGGGCCGCGGUAACUCUGACCGUGCUAAGGUAGCAUAAUCAAUUGCCAUCUAAUUAGUGGCUAGAAUGAAUGGUUCUACAAGUCCCCCACUGUCUCAAUUUUACUCUUAUUGAAAUUUAAUAAGCUGUGAAGAUUCAGCUUCUCCUUGGGAGGACGAGAAGACCCCGUUGAGCUUAACUUCUCCUUUCAACCCACAGCUAAUCAUAAGAUUGAAGGGCACUGUUGGAAAGAAGUUUGGUUGGGGCGACCACCUAAAUAAUAGUAACUUAGGUAAGCUAAGGUUAAAGGAUAAUAUAGUAAGCUUAAUUAAUAGACUGAUAAGUCAGUUAAAUAACCCAGGUUAGGCUAUAGUGACCCUGCUCAUUAAAGGGGGCAGAAUCUAGAUAAAAGUUACCACGGGGAUAACAGGGUUAUCUAGCUACAAAGUUCAUAUUGAAAGCUAGGUUUGCCACCUCGAUGUUG